UACGUAGGGGGCAAGCGUUAUCCGGAUUUACUGGGUGUAAAGGGAGCGUAGACGGAAUGGCAAGUCUGAUGUGAAAGGCGGGGGCUCAACCCCUGGACUGCAUUGGAAACUGUUAUUCUUGAGUGCCGGAGAGGUAAGCGGAAUUCCUAGUGUAGCGGUGAAAUGCGUAGAUAUUAGGAGGAACACCAGUGGCGAAGGCGGCUUACUGGACUGUAACUGACGUUGAGGCUCGAAAGCGUGGGGAGCAA
rnacentral:rRNA from 1 species